rnacentral:lncRNA from 1 species
UUCGGUCAACGUGACCAUCUCUGGAAGGAGAUCUUAUCUCUUCCUGAAAUAAAGGUUACCGCCAAUCAGGUGUCCGAAAUUCUGGGAUCCUUUAAAUCAAAAAUCCCUUUAUUUGCGCUGUUGUUACCGCACCGCUCUGAUAAAUAAUAACGGAGGAAGUUAUCCCUUCCAUUUUACCUUUGCCAGUUGCCUUUCCAACUUCCACACUUUAACCCUAGCGUCACCAUCAUUGUUUGAU